rnacentral:rRNA from 1 species
CCCCAGACUCCUACGGGAGGCAGCAGUGGGGAAUAUUGGGCAAUGGGCGCAAGCCUGACCCAGCAACGCCGCGUGAAGGAAGAAGGCCCUCGGGUUGUAAACUUCUUUUAUCAAGGACGAAACAAAUGACGGUACUUGAUGAAUAAGCCACGGCUAACUACGUGCCAGCAGCCGCGGUAAUACGUAGGUGGCAAGCGUUAUCCGGAUUUACUGGGUGUAAAGGGAGCGCAGGCGGCGCGCCAAGUCUGAUGUGAAACCCCGGGGCGCAACCCCGGGCAUGCAUUGGAAACUGGCGGGCUGGAGUGCCGGAGAGGGAAGCGGAAUUCCUAGUGUAGCGGUGAAAUGCGUAGAUAUUAGGAGGAACACCAGUGGCGAAGGCGGCGUACUGGACGGCAACUGACGCUGAGGCUCGAAAGCGUGGGGAGCAAACAGGAUUAGAUACCCCUGUAGCA